rnacentral:tRNA from 1 species
CACGGGAAAUGGUCGGCAUAGCUCAGUUGGUAGAGCAGAGGACUGAG